rnacentral:sRNA from 2 species
CGACCCGAGCGAAGCGAGAGAACGUUGCGUCAGCAACGGCCCGCAGGGCGAGCCACGCAGUGGCGAGUCAUCCUCUAUCACCGACCA